rnacentral:tRNA from 1 species
GGGGAUGGACCUCAGUGGCAGAGCACCUAUCUCACACAUGGGAGGUCCUGGAUUCCAUCCCCGGCAUCUCCA